rnacentral:lncRNA from 1 species
UUGGGAAGAAAAUUAGAAUACAUCUGUAUAUACGUCAAAGAGUUAUAGUCGAGCUUUUAAGACCUCGAGCUUGCUAGAGUCACGAGCUUUGAUCAAGUUUUAGCUUGGAUAGAUUAGAAUUCGAGUUGGUCUUAUAAUAAGCCUAAGACGAGCCGAUCGAACUAGUUCAUGAAUCUUGAACUUCGUUGACAGCAUCACAGGCGCAUCUUUUUUUAAAAGAUCUACUAGUAGCUACAAACUUCUGGCGUGCAUUAUAACCUGUAGAUGCAAAACUUGCUACAAGUAAUAUGAAAAGGGACAGGCAGAAAUCUUUCCAAAAAAUAGCUCAGACCUUUUGUUUUGAUUGCAAAUGUACAUAAUGUUUUUAAUCCAUCCCCCCCCCCCCCCUCCACACACACACACACACAAAUGCUUGAGCACAAAUAUCUUAAAAUCUAAACUAUUGAAAGUUCAACCAACAUACGUUGCACCAUUGCAUCCAUAUUUUAAGACAUAUCUCGUGCAAACCAAAUACCUUGUA